GUUCUGUUCUGUUGGAAUUCCUGCCAAUUCGUUCAUUUUAAUUUUGAUCUUGGAGCAAUCUACUUCACUUGUUCGGCGUUUCGAAAUAAUUGGAAUAAUUUUUAUUGAAAUGGAAGUUUUCAGUAAAAUAUUGCUAAAAUCUUGUAGGCAUAAAUAUGUUGCAACCAUAAUUUGUACAAGUUGAAUGUUAUUUGAAGGGAUGGCAUUGGAAAUUGCUGAUACAAUUAACAAACCCUGUUAAGUGAAGUAUAAAUGGGUUGUGCUGAACAAAAUGACCUGAUAUAUCUUAAUAAAGAGCUGGAAAAAUUGCAGCGGCUUGUAAAAUGUGCAGCUGAAACCGAGUAAUCUUGCAUCUGCGAUUUGCUUUAAUUAAAGCCAGCUGAGGGAGAAAGCUUGGUAAUACUGCUUAAGAUGACCCAAAUAUCAAAAAGAUUGCAGCACCAGUUCAAUGUGAAAAUGUAAAAACAAUAUUGGAAGCUGCAUAUUCAAAUGAUUUCCUGAAGGAUACGGAUUAUAUAUUACUAUUCAUUGACAUAUUGAGUAAACGUGAAAAGUUAAAACAUGUUAUAAAUCAUGAUUAUUACGGAAAAGUUUGGAGGUGUAACCGAAGUAAAGGCUUUUGUAUUCUCUCUGGAUUUGCAGCCAUUAAACAUUUGUAUACUAAAUAAACUAAAUAAAAACAAACAUUUUUAAAUGAAAA